rnacentral:rRNA from 1 species
UACGGAGGGUGCAAGCGUUAAUCGGAAUUACUGGGCGUAAAGCGCGCGUAGGCGGUUUGAUAAGCGAGAUGUGAAAGCCCCGGGCUUAACCUGGGAACGGCAUUUCGAACUGUUAGGCUAGAGUGUGGUAGAGGGUAGUGGAAUUUCCUGUGUAGCGGUGAAAUGCGUAGAUAUAGGAAGGAACACCAGUGGCGAAGGCGGCUACCUGGACCAUCACUGACACUGAGGUGCGAAAGCGUGGGGAGCAAACAGG